rnacentral:rRNA from 1 species
AUACGUAGGAUGCGAGCGUUGUCCGGAUUUACUGGGCGUAAAGAGCUCGUAGGCGGGAACAUACGUCUGGGAGGAAAUGUCACGGCUUAACCGUGUCGCUUUCCCGGAUACGGUGUUUCUUGAGGGCAGAAGAGGAGAAUAGAAUUCCCAGUGUAGCGGUGAAAUGCGUAGAUAUUGGGAAGAAUACCAGUGGCGAAGGCGAUUCUCUGGUCUGUCUCUGACGCUGAGGAGCGAAAGUGUGGGUAGCGAACGGGAUUAGAUACCCCGGUAGUCCACACCGUAAACGAUGGAUACUAGGUGUAUGAGGUAUCGACCCCUUAUGUGCCGGAGCUAACGCAUUAAGUAUCCCGCCUGGGGAGUACGAUCGCAAGAUUGAA